rnacentral:rRNA from 1 species
GUGACCUCGGAUCAGGCAG